AACGUUUCUUAUAUUCAUCUAUAAGCUUCUUGAGCUUCUCGGGUGGCAUUUUCUCUCACACUUCUUUUGCAAUAUGCUCAAGCUCUUGUACAUUUGCAGGGUUCCUUUCUCCAAUGGCAGAUUUCAGAUUUCAGCUCCACCCAAAGAUUUUCAAUUGGAUUGAGAUCAGGACUCAUUGCUGGCCAUUUUAAAACAGUGUGCUUUGGGUCGUUGUCUUGCUGGAGGACCCAGGAUCUUCGCCGCAAACCAAGUUUCCUUACACUGGGCAAGACAUUUCGCUCUAGAAUUGCUUGAUAAUCUUCUGAUUUCAUGAUGCCUGUGAUACGGUCAAGGCCUCCAGUACCAGAUGCUGCAAAGCAGCCCCACAGCAUUAUGGAUCCUCCACCAUGCUUGACUGUUGGUAUGGUGUUCUUUUUGUUAAAGGCUUCAUUGCGCCGUCUGUAAACAUAUUGUUUGUGUGAUUUACCGAAAAGCUCCACUUUUGUUUCAUCUGUUUAUAAAACGUUGUCCCAGAAGGAUUGAGGUUUGUCCAGGUUCUCUUUUGCGAAGAUCAAACAUUCUUUUUUAUGUCUUUUCUUCAGCAAUGGAGUCUUCCUUGGCCUCCGCCCAUAAAGCCCCACUUUGUUUAGUGUGCGGCGUAUGGUACUUGUUGA